UACGUAGGAUGCAAGCGUUGUCCGGAAUUAUUGGGCGUAAAGAGCGAGCAGGCGGUUUGGAAAGUUGGACGUGAAAUUUUAGGGCUUAACCCUAAAGGGUCGUCCAAAACUCCCAGACCAGAGUGCAGGAGAGGAAAGCGGAAUUCCCGGUGUAGUGGUGAAAUGCGUAGAUAUCGGGAGGAACACCAGAGGCGAAGGCGGCUUUCUGGCCUGUAACUGACGCUGAGGCGCGAAGGCUGGGGUAGCGAACAGG
rnacentral:rRNA from 1 species